CUGCGACACGCGCCGGGGUCGGUGCGCUUCUGUAUCUCUGCAUCUACAUGCGCGUGCUAACCGGGGCAUGGGAGUUCACUCUGGUUACAGAGAAGGGUGGGGAGCAGAGCUAUUUGUCCUUCAAACCUUUAGAGAGGAGGGAGCGGACUGAUUCCAGACAUAACAUCACUGAGUGCCUCGACUGGAAACUCCUGCAAGAGAUGCGCUGUUCAGCUGCAUUCAGGCAGAUCGCUACCCAAGGCUCCUCGGCAGUAUUAACAUUUAGUCAAAGGCAUUAAUAAAAAUAAUACAAGUCAACAGCUUUUUCCAUUAAUCAUCCCUAUUUAAAAAAAUUGCUGAAAAGUAGACCUGGGACUCAUCAGACAGUAUUUGAUAUAGAUCAUGUAGUUCCUGUGUGUACCUCCUGUUUCAAAAGAACUGCAGUUUGGUUAGAAACACACACUGGUAUUUCUUGGGUCACUUAGCUGUUAACUAUUCCUUAUGUCUGCACAGCUGAUAAAAAAAUCAGUAACUUUAAUCUUUUUACAAGACUACUUUCUCACACAAUGCUGAGCCCUGGCAACAGCCCCACAUCCCACCAGUAUGCAAAAGCAGAAAAAAUGUGAUACAGUAAUUUCCCCACAAGCUGAAGAAGUGUAAGAAACUGCUGCUGGGCAGCACCCUGUAUGAUGGGGCUUUCUUCUCAUGCUAUAGGAACUUCUUUCAAAGUUAUGGAAACGUAACUAUACAGUGUGGAGACGAAGGAGGGAGCCUUAUAGGAAAUAUGUUGUUAUGGCUCUGGCCCCAUUAGCAGAGAAAGAAAGUGUGCUAAUAAUGAGAGUGUAAUUAUGCCACAGUUGGAAAGAUGACUUCUCACUCAGCUCACUCUUUUCCUACUACUGACUCAUCACUGCUGUACAAAGACACCCUUCAUUCAACUGUCAAAAUGGAAGGGAAUGAUCAAUGAAUCAGGCUGGGAGGGGAAGAGGAUUGUUAUCCGUACUCCUCCAGAAACAGAGCCCUCCCUGCAGUGUUUUCCCCAGAUUAGCUGGGAACCUACCCACCAGAUGGGUGCUCUUGCAGUUUGUGUACAAAUUUGCAAAUCCUUCUCAAAAAUUCUGACCUGUGCUGCACAAAAACAGUUCUCUUCCCAGUGCAGUUUCUCUCUUCUACAGCAGCUAUUAAGGCUUAAGAUCCUGCAGAUUUGUGCUGAAUACUGGAAUAACUCUUUAGAGGGCUAUGCCUGUUUGUAGCAACCUUCAAAAGAAAUACUAAGGAAUGGGGAAAAAAAAAAGUGAUAUUUUAGCAUCAUGGGAUGCCUAGUAGCUGUUAGAGAACCAAAGGACAGCUGAGAUAGCACUUCUUACCUUUUACUAUUAAAAAUGGAUUCUAAGGCUUCUAUAGAUACACAGUACUGGCAAGCUGUGAUUGUUUUUUUCAGUCUCCUAUGUCAGGUAAUCCUGAUAACAGACAUGAGAACAAUAUUUAGAUAGAAGAUAACGUGAGGAGAUAGGAAUCCAAUUUGUGAAAUUACAAGUAGAGAAAACAUCAGAUAAAGAAGUAAUUUAAUGAAGUCAUUCAGCCAUAGAAGUAGAAUAUGACUGGAAAGGACUUUGAGAUGGUCAUUAAGUCCAUUUUACUGAAACAAAUAAAGGAAUACUUUCAGAGGCAUAUGUCUUGCAAGAAAUACUGAAAAUCCUUUGCCUAGUUAACUUUACUGUGACCUCCCAUUCAUGUCCUUCCCAUGACCAGGAGACAGCUGAAGGGAAACUGGAGUUUUUUCCAUUUUUUUCUGUUUCAAGGUGUGAUCUGGAGGCUCUAAAGACGUGUAGACUGAUUCCAGUGCACAAUCAUAAGCAGAGAGCUCAGGAGGGUUUUGAGAAAACAUCCUUCGUGGUUUUGCGUAGUUAGAAAUGGGUUUUCUGGCAGGUCACUUCACGCGUAAAAGGUCUUACUGGCAGAUUAGAAGAGUCUUAAAUAUUUGUGGUGUAUAAGAUGGAAGACUCAGAAUGUAAAUGUCAUAAGAUAUCACACCCUUGCCUUACAGUCCCAAGAGCUAGGGAAAAAGCCACAGCCAAAAGAUACUUUGUUCCUGAGUUGAGCUAACCAACUCUGGGUAUGACUAGCUUUGUAGGAUUUUUCCUUACAGAUAAAGAAGUCAUUGUUUUGCUGUUCUUCUGGGGCUUUGAAUUAGCUUUCCAUGGGCUUUACGUAUAGUCAGACUUUGCUCAUUUAUCUGAACUUUAUUUCUUACUCUCUACUUGUGUACCAACACACAGUUGAAGUUCAAGAGGCGGUGAUUUGGAAAUACUUAUUCCUGCUCAAUUUCAUGUAGUUACUGUAUUCUUAAGUGAGUAUAGUUCUUUUAGUCUCCCAAUUACCAUCUUAAUCUGAUAGCUAAAGCCUUGUUUUAUACUAACUGAAGGACGGAGUCAUUUGUGUUAGUUCGAGAUGCGUCAGUUGUCUAUAACGUUGCACUCACCAGGUUGAGAACUUCCUGAGAUCUUACCUGUGAGUCACUGGAAACUAUAACCUGAAGAUAGUUUAGCAUUUAAAUAUAACUGUGAAACUUCAGGUUUCACAACUUCUUUUCAGAGUUCAGUUAGGGAUAGGAUUAAUUAAAAUUCAAGUAGCCUUCAGGCUAAGGUUUAAAAGACAACACACAUUGACUGGCAUGUAUUUCACAAAGAAGUCAGCAUCUGACCUCUGCCAGCAUCAUCGUAGGCUUAUAUAUUCUAGAAAUGGGCACCAAAGCAAAGCAAAGAUUUUCAUGCCAGUUCAAAGGCCGGUAGCUGCACUCAAUGUGAUUCUUUGCUCUCACUGGUAUUAAAGGUAGCUAGUUCCUAGGCUUUUUGGACAACCCUGAACAUGGAAAGUGCUCUCAGAAGUACUUGUGAAAGUAACUCUGGAAUGAUGUCUGGCUGAAAGAUCACUGGUCAUUUGCUUGACCUCUUGCUUAUGCUGGAUAAUGCACAUCUAAAUGGCUAAAUAAAUACAGAACAUCAAAAGAAAGUAUAUAUGUCUACAGCCUGCUAAUAUCUGUGUUCUCUCUAUAUCAGACUUCUAGAAGUGCUUGAAAAACCCCCACAAGGUGAAACUUACCCAAAAGCUUGGGUUAAUAGCUACAUCUCAAAGGGCACAUCUAGCAGUAAACCUGUUCAUGUCCCAGUUGAGUAGAACCCACGCAAGCCACACCUUAAAAUACCAGCAGCAGAUCAAACAUUUACACAGUAUCAGUUGGAAUGUUAGUGUACUCAGGGUAUGAAGGCACAAAAUAGCCUCUUGCUUUGUUCCUGCACUGUAGCCUUAAUUCUAAUAAAGACAGGCAUUCCUAGCACCCACAUCUGUGGCUACAUCAUCUGGGGGCGAGGCAGUCAUAAGACUAUGUUGAUUGUAAAGAAUUCCCUACUUUGGUAGCUCAGAGCAGCCUUGCGAUGAGCUGCAGGAGGGACUUCAGACCAGCAUGUGAAGGAUAAAGCCCUUUCCAUGUCCCAUGGAAGUUUGGGUCCAGCUGGAGGCUUGCAGAUCAAGAAAAUGUGCUUCCUUCUUAUCUGUAGUAACAGCUACAGAGUGAACGUUCCCAGUAUUUGGACCUGAGAAGAGAAAAAUACAGCAGCUCCUGCUACAGCUUGGCAAGAACCUCCAGGAGUUUCUGAUAUGGAUUUUUCUCACUUUCUCUGCUGAAGUGCAAGCUCCCUGUCCUAGGAUGCACUCAGCCAUCAAUAUGUAACAUCACCGGUACCAUAGCAUCCAGAUGUUAUCUGAAAGCUUCUUUAUUUGCCUCAUCCAGACUAACAGUCAAAAAGCACGUAUUCAUGCUCAGUUUGAUUCAGAAUGCAAGUAAUGUGGGCAGUACUUUUCAGACAGCAGUCCUUCUCAAACAGCAACAAAAUCCAAUAAAAAACAUAUGCUGUCUCUGCUUCACACAGUGAAAGCCUUGUGCGUAUGUCCAAACUGCCAGUUUUUAUUAACUACCAACAGUUUGUGCACUCACAGAUUUCAUCAGGUAAGUAUCUCACAUGCAGAAACCUGUAGAACAUGAAAAACUGACUUUUUUUUCCAGUACAUAAGAUAACUGUGAUUAAUAUCGUGCAGUGAGUACAACUAGAAGGGGAAGAGAUCUCUUUAACUUGGCUUAGGUAGAUAAAUUCAUUCCUAAAAUAUUUCUAUGAAAUACUGAAUAGUGUUAAUUACAAAUGGCUCUCCAGGUCCAGCAAUGGUCCUACUGCUUACUAGCCUGUCUGUCCAUUUACACUGCAAAGCCACUCACUGAUGCCAAGCUGUGUGGUUCUGUCCAUCUCCACACAACCAAGCAUGCAGGCUUAAGAGGACAAGCUGCUCCUAAGCAGAGCCAUUGCAAAUUCACCUUAACAUUUGAAAAUAGUAAAAAAA